ensembl:lncRNA
CUGCUGCCCUGCAGCUGUGGGAAUGCUCUGUGCAGCUCAGCAACCAGCAGUGUCUAACCAAGAGCUGGGAGAUGGAAAGGGAAGUUAGAAAAUGUUCUCGAUAUUUGGUUUCCAAGUCCAGAGUCCCUCACUGGAGUCUGCUGGUGUUUGGCCAUGGAUGUUUCACGGGAUCACAAUUUUCUCCCUCCCAGGCAGAAAUCACUCAGCCAGAUAAAACAAGCAAAAGAUACCGGUUGUGCUGAUUCACAAGGAAACAAUUUCCCUUCUAUUUCAGCAGCUUACCAGCAGGAAACUGCAGGGCAGUUUGCCAUGACCAUAGAAAAUGGGACAUGUUGCACGUUAUCCAAGACUUCCUGGGUGCCCAUUAAGUCCUUCAUGGCCUGAAGUCUGAACUGGUGAACAGCCCGUAUCCAAAGAGAGGUGACAAUUUCACUGCAUGCACUGAGCAUCCUACCUGCUUUAUUCCACCCUCUUACAAUGAGAGGAUGAAGCUUGUGAACCAUGAGGGCUGCUACAAAAGAAAUGCCUCCUAUGUUAUGUCGGCUCACCAGGUCAGAGGUGGACAUUGGUGAGGUGGCAGCAAAAGCUGAACCUUUCCACCGAUAUUCCAUCACAUUUUGUUGCUGUGUGACUGAUGGCAGCAGAGGGAUGGUCUGACAAAACGGCAUUUGACAUAGAAGUACGUAUGGAGCAAAGGAAUGGCACUGAAUUUUUCUGUGCAGAAAAUGCAGCACCCAUUGCCAUUCAUCUUGCUGAGCAUUUAUGGAGACCAAACAGUGGGUGUGAGCACAGUGAGGA